UAUAUAUAUAUAUAUAUAUAUAUAUAUAUAUAUAUAUAUAUACAAGAAUUGCUCGUUUAAAGGUAUAAGAUUAUGUAGGCAUGUUUUGAUUUGAAAAACUUACUACUUAUGGUUUGUCAUACAAGGGGCUAAUUUGUUGUUUAACCUCUCGUGCUAAUAUUGAUACCCGUGCCAGCAAAAGAUUAUUAAACUGAACCACUAGUGCAGCGAAUGGUUCGAAAAAUGGAAUCUUGAGUGUUGCGAGGGUUCAAGGCACAAGGUGAAACAACUUUUUUCACCACACCAACAAAGAAAAUACUAACUGUAAAUUAUCAAACUAUAUCAAAGCAAAUCAAUUCAGAAUUCUGUUAUUUAAUAUAGGUAUUUAUCAUUCAAAUCAUCAUUAAAAAAGUCAAUUCUACCAGCCAACAUAAGGACACAACUCGAAAUUUGAAUUUGAUUUGCACCACAAGUGGAUAAAAUGCAACUUUCUCACCAGUUUUUGAACAAUAAAGAGAGCACGCUAGUAUUGUAAAAAUAACUAUUUUAAUGCAAUUAAUCUGGGGGCACGGCAGUGCCCCCGCCAAGUCGAGCGCGAAGCAAACACUGCCGUACCAUGCUUUACUGGAACCAUUUCGCCGCAUUUUCAGGCCCCUAUUUGAGAACCUCUGGAUAAAACCAAAACGCAGAAAUUUUCGUCAUCCAGUAAGCUAUAAUCACAUACUUAAAAUCCAAAAUUUCAAGUCUGGAGGUCAUUUAGUUCCGAAGUUAAGCGAAAGCAAAGUUUCGCUUUUAUGACACUCACUCACUCACUCAUGAUCAUCAAAAUAGAACUAGUGCUUCCCAUAAACUCAGAGAGCUGAAAUUUGGUACAGAGUUAGGAUUUAAUGGCCACAUAAAGGGAAAACUAUAAAAACUAGGAUAAUCGAAGAUCUGGAGUACCUGGUGACCCUGAUUAGAAACCAAAAUAA